UGGAGUUGGUCCAUUACUCUUUUCAGCCCAUUCACAUAUUCAUACAUAUGAUCCACCUUUUUGACAAAAUUUGCAAAUAAUUUCAUAUUUCAGCACUAAAUAUGUUUACAUCACAGGCCAUAAAGCCCUACAAAAUAGUAUCACUUGUUCCUAUACAAAACUAUCAAAUGAUACAUACAACAAAACAGAAUACAGAAAAUUUAGUUCAACAAUUUCUUCCUCUUCCAUCUUCCAGAACACACAACACCUGUGAAAAUAAAGAUGCCACAACAAAAAUGGAAGGAUCAGCCACUAGAAGCAUAUUGAAUACAAGGGAAACAAUCAAAUUAAAGAAAUGAAAGACACGCACUGUGAAAAUUUUGACAGCACGAAUAUUUUUUAUAUUACCAUAAAAAACAGGAAUGUAAUCUGAUUGCACAAGACAAAUGGCAUUAUCACACAGCCGGACGAGCGAAGCAUUACCUUGUGAGGAAGCUAUAGAAGCUACUCCAUGCUUUAACGAAAAUACAGAAAUACAGAAACUAUAGAAGCUACUCCAUGCUUUAACAAAAAUAAGAAACUAUAGAAGCUACUCCAUGCUUUAACAAAAAUACAGAAACUACAUAAGCUGCACAUUCAGGUUGUGAUACUCCCAUCUUCAGUAUAUGCAUGUUGUGAUACUCCCAUCUUAUGCAAUUUGACUCACAAAACAAGAAACCACAACAAAACUGAUUUUUAACAUUCCAUGCAAAAUACGGUAAAUACGUCUUGUAUCUACUCCUUGGCUACUAUUAUUUCAACUGUAAAUUUAGCCAGCAAUCAUCAAAAGCAAGUACAGAGUAAACUAGGACUUUGUUGUAGCUAUAGAAACUGAAACAACACACACAUCAUGGAAUUUCAUAUCAUAGCAAACAAAUAUUUUACCAGAACACAGGGUGUUCUUCUUUGCAUUUUAGAAACAUGCAAACAAAGGUUUCAAUACAAUCAAACAAGUGGAGUAGACAAAUUUCAGAACUGAAUGUGUUCGCACCGUUUGGUUUAUUAGCUCGGUUUAUUUAAACAAAAGUUUAUGUAAAAAUAGACAAGUGGAGUAGCAUGUGUUUACUUUGCAUGCUCAAGGUACACUGGUUUGAUGAGAACAAUAUGAUGUGUUUACAUUUCAGUACCAGCUAGUGGCGUCAAAAACCAAGUAGUAGCAAGAAGAAGAGAAACUCUAGUAAAUGAUGAUUAUAUGAAGAAACAUGAACUACAUUCAGUAGUGAUGCUUCCAUCAUCCUACUAUCACGGGUAGAGCAAACUACGGGUUACCAUAGUUCCGGAACCAUGUACUUCACGAGAGAUGUAUGUAGUAACACAAGACGCAUGGCACAUAAAGAAAAAUUAUUCAUUCAAGAGACUAGAAAUUAUACAUACAAGUACUGGUGGCCUAAAAAUCAAUCUACAAAUGAUAGAUAAUAAUAAACAAGCGACAACAACAUAUAUUUUUUCAUUAUAUAAAGAGAAACUAACAGACUGAGAAACUAACAGACUAUUAUGUGCACGCAGAUGCACCAAAAGAAACUAAAGACCGUUUAUCUUAAGAAUUCCACAUAGCUGCGGAACAUGCUUAUCAUCCAAGGAAAGAAGCAUAGCUUUUCAGGGGAAAUCAAUCUACAACCCUACGGAUAUUAGGUCUAUCUCGGUACAGAAUGAGCAUGAGCAAUACAUCAGGCAGUAUAUGCGUCUGGAGAGAAACAAUUACGACCCACAAGGCUAACAAAGAGUUAACCGAGUCUAUCACGAAGGAGCGGCCAGAACCAGUACAUCAAUCAUGAAGGAGCGGACGAACCAGUAAAACGAGAGGAACCGCCCUACAAAAAUAAGGAACAAGAGCGAUUUUAGUUGUUCAGAAUUUUAGUUCUAAGUCUGAAAUAGAAAUUCAUGCUAGAAAUAGCAUCAAAGUGUAUCUAAUGAAAGGUGUUGUCCUACAAUACACAUAACUGGAUCUUGGUCGUCGAUUUUUGCACCAGACAAUCAGUUUAGACACAUAUUUUACUCCUAGUUGCAACCUAUUUGGAUCCCUUCUGGCAGCAAAAAAUACACAGACAAGAGAUUAGUAAGUUAAACUAAGAAACAUUAAGCAAAGCAAAUGAUAUGGGAAUGCAUGAUUGAUAGUCUGGAAGUGCGUUCUCUGCAUUUUACUCAUAGUUUUUUUCUUUCUGAAUGGUAAUUGUACUCAUAGUAACACCUCCAGAUGUAUGAACAACUAUUCAGUCAAGCAUAUGUUCAUCUCGAGCUGUAUGGUAUCAUUAUAUAUAAAAAACAGUGCCAAUUCAGAUUUGAUAAUCCGUUUCAGAUGCUGGCAUGAUUGAUUGAUACCAGAAGAAAAAAAUGAUUGGAUCAAUCAGGCAGAAACAUGCCCUGCCCCCAGAUUUGUGCCACCUUUCCCCCUCCUGUACCGAAACUAUAAUAACCUGGCUCCACCUAACCACCGGCUGAUAAGCCAGACCGCUUCAAAUCAUUGUUGAAUCACCAACCAAGAACACCCAGGGGCAAGCCAAUUUACAGUUAUACAGUUGCAUACACCCCGAUAAAAAUCCCAGAAAAUAAAAUUCAAACCCAAGCUCUCCCGAAUUCCAUGACUAAUAGAGUAGCAGUAACAGUAAAAUCACCAAGGCCAUCGCGAAUUCACAAGCUCACCUGAGUUCAACGGAAGCGGCGUCCGUCCUUGCAGUACUCCAUUCCUUAGCACCACCAAGUCCUCCUCCAAUAGCUGCAGAAACCAGGAUGACAAAUCCAAAAUCAGCUCACCUGCUCGGUCAGAAAGAAGAAACAAAGAAGCAAGCGAAAAUCCAAGAACAAGACGAACCUAGCGAACAACGCCGUGUUG
rnacentral:lncRNA from 1 species